rnacentral:rRNA from 1 species
GACGAACGCUGGCGGCGUGCUUAACACAUGCAAGUCGAACGGAAAGGCCCUGCUUGCAGGGUACUCGAGUGGCGAACGGGUGAGUAACACGUGGGUGAUCUGCCCUGCACUUCGGGAUAAGCCUGGGAAACUGGGUCUAAUACCGGAUAGGAGCCAUUUUUAGUGUGAUGGUUGGAAAGUUUUUUCGGUGUAGGAUAAGCUCGCGGCCUAUCAGCUUGUUGGUGGGGUAAUGGCCUACCAAGGCGGCGACGGGUAGCCGGCCUGAGAGGGUGGACGGCCACAGUGGGACUGAGAUACGGCCCAGACUCCUACGGGAGGCAGCAGUGGGGAAUAUUGCACAAUGGGCGCAAGCCUGAUGCAGCGACGCCGCGUGGGGGAUGACGGCCUUCGGGUUGUAAACUCCUUUCGCUAGGGACGAAGCUUUUUGUGACGGUACCUAGAUAAGAAGCACCGGCUAACUACGUG